AAAGGCGCUUUCGGGUGUCGCUGAUGGAUGGACCCGCGGUGCAUUAGCUAGUUGGUGAGGUAACGGCUCACCAAGGCCACGAUGCAUAGCCGACCUGAGAGGGUGAUCGGCCACAUUGGGACUGAGACACGGCCCAAACUCCUACGGGAGGCAGCAGUAGGGAAUCUUCGGCAAUGGACGAAAGUCUGACCGAGCAACGCCGCGUGAGUGAAGAAGGUUUUCGGAUCGUAAAACUCUGUUGUUAGAGAAGAACAAGGAUGAGAGUAACUGUUCAUCCCUUGACGGUAUCUAACCAGAA
rnacentral:rRNA from 1 species